rnacentral:rRNA from 1 species
UACGAAGGGGGCUAGCGUUGCUCGGAAUCACUGGGCGUAAAGGGUGCGUAGGCGGGUUUUUAAGUCAGGGGUGAAAUCCUGGAGCUCAACUCCAGAACUGCCUUUGAUACUGAGGAUCUUGAGUUCGGGAGAGGUGAGUGGAACUGCGAGUGUAGAGGUGAAAUUCGUAGAUAUUCGCAAGAACACCAGUGGCGAAGGCGGCUCACUGGCCCGAUACUGACGCUGAGGCACGAAAGCGUGGGGAUCAAACAGG